AAGACUGAAGCUUUGGCGUUGCAACUCGCGCUAGGCUGGAGCGGCUCGGUGACUCUGGGUGGGACCCGACGUGACUGGGCUUGCCGCUGUCAACAAACGCCAUAGCAAGCUAAUUUUCUAGUAGCUUACUCGUUUCCCCUUCCACCUCGGGAAUGCCAUAUGCAAUCAAAUUUGGCCUGCUAAUGCGAUUUCUGCAAGUGAUCGAUUCUUUUUCCUAGUGUUUGCCAGAUGUGACAUUCAUACUAUAACCUGGAUUUCGCAAGCAUCAUGCAAUCUUUCUUACCACAAUCCUUGACGAUUUUCACUUGGUUUCUAUAUCAACCGGUCGCUUUUUGCUUAAUGUCCUUGAUACCGCAAGAGUCCGCUGAAGUUCCCUAGUAAUCUGCGUAAGAUCUGGUCCUCUGUUGGUUUCAAUGGCCCCUCCAAGCAGGAGUAGGUUUCUUAUAUACACAACCGUGUCGAUCGCAAUAUAUGUCCGUGGCCCUGCCAGAAUUGACAAAAAAAAAACAAACAAAAAAACGAAGUACUCGUGUGUAUGUAAGUUUCCUCACGUACGCGUAUGUGUUCGUACGUUUCCUCACGUACGCGUAUGUGUUCGUACGUUUCCUCACGUACGCGUAUGUGUUCGUACGUGUUCCUCACGUACGCGUAUACGCGUUUCCUGAAGCACGUUUCCUCGCGUACGUAUGCAGACGAGGGGGUUAAUUGCAACUUGCAUGCUGGCACCGCUGCUGUGCCCAGUGACCGCGGCGUUGCUGGUGCGGCUUUUUACAGUUAAGAGCUGUCGUUGCACUGGGUCGGAACGUGCAGAGCGUUGCACACGUGUAGCUGUUCGGAGUUGCACCAGAUAAUCAAGGGAAAAGUUGUGGCAGGAAGCAGCUUGGUGGGGUUAUGAUGUUGCACGGCCCAAGUCGCAUUGGACACCACUUGUCCCGCGCGCGCCGGGAGAACAGACACGAACAUUGGUUGCUGAAUAUCGGUGAACGGUUUAAUUGCCAUCCGAGUGUUAAUAACACUGCCAUGCCCAUGCCUUGUUGUUUCAGGAUCUUGACCUCUGCUUAUGAUUGCCGCCCACGUGUAGGAUGAUAUCCAGUGCGCUGCUCCACGUUUGCCAUCCUCCCACGUCCCAGAGGAGAUGGCCCCUGAGCACCACCCGUACAGUGACCGACCCUUGCCGGUUUGGUCUUGCUGGCAGACCAGAUUGCUCGUUGCCUUGCACUGUACCACGGGAUCCCUACAUUUGCUUUUGAUGGCGGCCCACGAGUAAAAAAUCAAGCGUGCUGCUCCACGUUUGCCAUCCUCCCGACGUCAACCCAGGAGAUGGUCUUGAGCACCGCUCGUACCGUGGCCUACUGUGUUUGUUGUUUUGAAUUCCCUCACCGAUGGCGUCCUCCUGGCAGGCGGGUCCGGACUCGGUCCUGGUGUCCGUUUUCGAUGGCGGUGCACGAGGACAUCCCAGGCAGCGUUGCCAAAAGAUGAAAUCGUACUGACCAGCAUUCGUCCCCUGGCCUUCCAUGUGACCACUUCGGCCGUUAACUGUGGACGUCCAAGUCGGAGCGUG